rnacentral:rRNA from 1 species
ACACUCCUGCGGGAGGCAGCAGUGGGGAAUAUUGCACAAUGGGCGCAAGCCUGAUGCAGCCAUGCCGCGUGUAUGAAGAAGGCCUUCGGGUUGUAAAGUACUUUCAGCGGGGAGGAAGGCGAUAAGGUUAAUAACCUUGUUGAUUGACGUUACCCGCAGAAGAAGCACCGGCUAACUCCGUGCCAGCAGCCGCGGUAAUACGGAGGGUGCAAGCGUUCAUCGGAAUUACUGGGCGUAAAGCGCACGCAGGCGGUCUGUCAAGUCGGAUGUGAAAUCCCCGGGCUCAACCUGGGAACUGCAUUCGAAACUGGCAGGCUAGAGUCUUGUAGAGGGGGGUAGAAUUCCAGGUGUAGCGGUGAAAUGCGUAGAGAUCUGGAGGAAUACCGGUGGCGAAGGCGGCCCCCUGGACAAAGACUGACGCUCAGGUGCGAAAGCGUGGGGAGCAAACAGGAUUAGAAACCCUAGUAGUCCCA